CGUAGGGUGCGAGCGUUAAUCGGAAUUACUGGGCGUAAAGCGUGCGCAGGCGGCGCGUUAAGACAGGUGUGAAAGCCCGAGCUUAACUUGGGAAUUGCGCUUGUGACUGGCGUGCUGGAGUGUGGCAGAGGGAGGUGGAAUUCCACGUGUAGCAGUGAAAUGCGUAGAGAUGUGGAGGAACACCGAUGGCGAAGGCAGCCUCCUGGGCCAGCACUGACGCUCAUGCACGAAAGCGUGGGGAGCAAACAGGAUUAGAUACCCUGGUAGUCCACGCCCUAAACGAUGUCAACUGGUUGUUGGUGGGGUUAAACCCAUUAGUAACGAAGCUAACGCGUGAAGUUGACCGCCUGGGGAGUACGGCCGCAAGGUUA
rnacentral:rRNA from 1 species